AAUGGUCAUUUUACUUCCGUCCUAACGAUGCAUGAAAUAUGAGCCACUGGACGUUUAACAACAAACAAACAAUAUAUCAAUCUGUAAGAGUUCUGUUGUCAUUGAUCAGUUAUAUAAGCACUUACACCACAUUUAUAUAUGUUAACUUGUCUCUGUAAAUUAUGGCUGUCAUACAACCAUUGCACAAUUACACUACAUUUAUAUGUGUUCACUUGUCUCUAAAAGUUAUCAUUGUCAUUGAACCAUUACACACUUACACCAUUAUGAAAGUACCAUAAGUGUUUUAAUGUGCCUCUUUAAUGCAUUUCUUCUGAAAACAAUUUUCAUGUUGUUUGUCAUAAGGGUAGAUCCUAUGUAGGUCACUUCUUCAAAAUUAUACAUUAUUUAAAACAAAAAUAAGAUUUUUCGAAAAAAAUCGCUAGGACAUGGUCUCAUGUAUCUAGUAUGUCAAUUGCAACUCUCAUUGGACUCACAACUACCUGCAUACAUCUCGUUUAUGAAUUUUAUUUUAUGUAUGUAUUCAAAUGUGUUCCUCUAAGCUAACGUGAUGACUUGGCCGUUUGCCAUAUACACCACAGUUAUGUGGUUUGGCACCUGUAUGAGUUCUCGUGUGACUCUGUAAACUAUCAUGUUGACCAAACCCUUUACCACAUACACCACAUUCAUGAGGUUUAUCGCCUGUAUGUAUUCUCAUGUGUCUCUGUAAAGUAAUACGCUGACUAAACCUUUUACCACAUACAUUACAGUCAUAUGGUUUGUCACCGGUAUGUGUUCUCAUGUGAUUUUGUAAGUCACCAAGCCGACUGAACCGUUUACCACAUAUAUCACAGCCAUGAGGUUUUUCACCUGUAUGUGUUCUCGUGUGUCUCUGUAAAUUGCCAAGCUCACUAAACUGUUUACCACAUACAUCAGUCAUGAGGUUUAUCACCUGUAUGUAUUCUCAUGUGAAUUUUUAAACUACUAAGCCGAAUAAACCGUUUACCACAUACACCACAGCCAUGAGGUUUAUCACCUGUGUGUGUUCUGAUGUGCAUUUGUAAAUCACUAAGCUGACUAAACCGGUUACCACAUAUAUCACAGCCAUGAGGUUUUUCACCUGUAUGUAUUAGCAUGUGUCUCUUUAAAUUUCCAAGCUGACUAAACUGUUGUCCACAUUCUGCACAUUCAUGAAGUAUAUUAUCUAUCUGUGUGUUUACAUGUCUCUGUAAAGAACAAUUGAUUGUGACUAAAUCCUCUUCUCCCUCUAGCAUCUUAUUGGUAAUUUUUUCUCCAGUAUGUGUGUUCUUGUAUAAC
rnacentral:lncRNA from 1 species